rnacentral:rRNA from 1 species
AACGAACGCUGGCGGCAUGCCUAACACAUGCAAGUCGAACGAAGCCUUCGGGCUUAGUGGCGCACGGGUGCGUAACACGUGGGAGUCUGCCCUUCGGUUCGGAAUAACAGUUAGAAAUGACUGCUAAUACCGGAUGAUGACGUAAGUCCAAAGAUUUAUCGCCGAAGGAUGAGCCCGCGUAGGAUUAGGUAGUUGGUAGGGUAAUGGCCUACCAAGCCGACGAUCCUUAGCUGGUCUGGGGAGGAUGAUCACGCCACACGUGGGACUGAGACGACCGGCCCAGACUCCGUACGGGAGGCAGCAGGUGGGGAAUAGUUGGACAAGUGGGACGAAAGCC